rnacentral:rRNA from 1 species
GUGGCGAACGGGUGAGUAACACGUGGGUAAUCUGCCCUGUACUCUGGGAUAAGCCUGGGAAACUGGGUCUAAUACCGGAUAUGACCUUUCACCGCAUGGUGGGGGGUGGAAAGUUCCGGCGGUAUGGGAUGAACCCGCGGCCUAUCAGCUUGUUGGUGGGGUAAUGGCCUACCAAGGCGACGAUCCUUAGCUGGUCUGAGAGGAUGAUCGGCCACACUGGGACUGAGACACGGCCCAGACUCCUACGGGAGGCAGCAGUGGGGAAUAUUGGACAAUGGGCGAAAGCCUGAUCCAGCAAUGCCGCGUGAGUGAUGACGGCCUUCGGGUUGUAAACCUCUUUCGCCAGGGACGAAGCGCGAGUGACGGUACCUGGAUAAGAAGCACCGGCUAACUACGUGCCAGCAGCCGCGGUAAUACGUAGGGUGCGAGCGUUGUCCGGAAUUAUUGGGCGUAAAGAGCUCGUAGGCGGUUUGUCGCGUCGGCUGUGAAAUCUGGAGGCUUAACCUUCAGCGUGCAGUCGAUACGGGCAGACUUGAGUUCGGCAGGGGAGACUGGAAUUCCUGGUGUAGCGGUGAAAUGCGCAGAUAUCAGGAGGAACACCGGUGGCGAAGGCGGGUCUCUGGGCCGAUACUGACGCUGAGGAGCGAAAGC